UUACGAACAUAUCACGUUGAAACCCCGGUUCCCGUACGAUCACUGAAGUUAAGCAACGUCGAGCCUGUUUGGGUGACCACUUGGGAAUACCAGAUGCUGUAA